CAGUAGCCGCGGUAACACGGAGGGUGCAAGCGUUAAUCGGAAUUACUGGGCGUAAAGCGCACGCAGGCGGUUUGUUAAGUCAGAUGUGAAAUCCCCGAGCUUAACUUGGGAACUGCGCUUGUGACUGCACAGCUAGAGUAUGGCAGAGGGGGGUGGAAUUCCACGUGUAGCAGUGAAAUGCGUAGAGAUGUGGAGGAACACCGAUGGCGAAGGCAGCCCCCUGGGCCAAUACUGACGCUCAUGCACGAAAGCGUGGGGAGCAAACAGGAUUAGAGACCCCUGUAGUCCCUGUCUCUUAUAC
rnacentral:rRNA from 1 species